CGCAGCGAGAAAGCGUUGCCGCAGGCAACGACCCGAAGGGCGAAGCGCGCAGCACUGAGUCAUCCUUCCCCCACCACCA
rnacentral:sRNA from 1 species